rnacentral:rRNA from 1 species
UUGUUUUUUAAAUGGAAACUGGAAUGAAGGGUCCAACAGUUAAUUACUGUUUUCACACAGUAGUAUAAUUUAUAGUUUAAGUAAAAGUACUUAAAUGAUUUGAAGGGACGAUAAGACCCUAAAAGCUUUAACUGUUAGGCACCCAAGUUACUUAUAGUCGGAGUAGCAUUAUCAGCGUUGACUGGGGCAGUAGACUUAUUAAGAUUAGGUUAAAUGUAGGACUAUAAGCUGAAGGAGGUUAGAUCUUGUAAAUACGGAUGAAUAGGUUUAGUUACUUUAGGGAUAACAGCGUAAUAAGUUUGAAGAGGCCUUAUCGAUAAACUUGAUUACGACCUCGAUGUUGAAUUAGGAGGUUACUGUGGAGUAGAAGACACAAAAAAGAGUUUGUUCAACUUUUAAAUUCCU